UACAUACUCCCUCCCUCCGGAAAUACUUGUCAGAGAAAUGGGUGUAUCUAGACGUGUGUUAGUUCUAAAUACGUCCAUUUUAUCUAUUUAUGUGACAAGUAAUUCCGGGCGGAGGGUGUACAUG
rnacentral:pre_miRNA from 1 species